AUUGAACGCUGGCGGCAGGCCUAACACAUGCAAGUCGAACGAGUGGCGGACGGGUGAGUAAUGUCUGGGAAACUGCCUGAUGGAGGGGGAUAACUACUGGAAACGGUAGCUCAUACCGCAUACCAUCGGAUGUGCCCCGAGGGGAUUAGCUUGUUGGGGGGGUAACGGCUCACCAAGGCGACGACCCCUAGCUGGUCUGAGAGGAUGACCAGCCAAACUGGAACGGAGACACGGUCCAGACUCCUACGGGAGGCAGCAGGGGGGAAUAUUGCACAAUGGGCGCAAGCCUGAUGCAGCCAUGCCGCGUGUAUGAAGAAGGCCUUCGGGUUGUAAAGUACUUUCAGCGGGGAGGCGUUACCCGCAGAAUAAGCACCGGCUAACUACGUGCCUGCAGCGCGGUAAUAC
rnacentral:rRNA from 1 species